GGACUUAAAAUUUGAGCCUUAGUAAAGAAAUUUACUAAGUGACUGUUUUCACAUUCAGGGAAACCCAAGGUUUUAAAUAUGAGGUAAUCCUGAGCCAAAUUUUAACUAUAAAAUAGGUGCAGAGACUCGAAGGAAACUAUCCUAACGAAAAUUUUUUCUCUAGUUUUUAUUAUUAAAUAUUAUUCUAAAGUCCAUAAUAUAAAAUAUAUUUAAAAUAAUAAAAACAUACGAUGAAUACUAAGUACAAAAAGUAUUGUACAAAUAGUAUUUUUUUUUUUUAAAUAACUUUUAAUAGGCGAGGAUAAAGAUAGAGUCCUUUUUAUAAUCUAUAUAACUUUUACUUAAAAUAGAUUAAAAAAGAAAAUCCGUUGGCUUUAAUAGACCUUGAGGGUUCAAGUCCCUCUACCCCCA
rnacentral:ncRNA from 1 species